rnacentral:tRNA from 1 species
GGGCCCGUAGCUCAGUUGGUAGAGCAGGAGACUCAUAAUCUCUUGGUCCAAGGUUCGAGUCCUUGCGGGCCCACCA